rnacentral:rRNA from 1 species
AGAGUUUGAUCAUGGCUCAGAGCGAACGCUGGCGGCAGGCUUAACACAUGCAAGUCGAGCGGGCGUAGCAAUACGUCAGCGGCAGACGGGUGAGUAACGCGUGGGAACGUACCUUUUGGUUCGGAACAACACAGGGAAACUUGUGCUAAUACCGGAUAAGCCCUUACGGGGAAAGAUUUAUCGCCGAAAGAUCGGCCCGCGUCUGAUUAGCUAGUUGGUGAGGUAACGGCUCACCAAGGCGACGAUCAGUAGCUGGUCUGAGAGGAUGAUCAGCCACAUUGGGACUGAGACACGGCCCAAACUCCUACGGGAGGCAGCAGUGGGGAAUAUUGGACAAUGGGGGCAACCCUGAUCCAGCCAUGCCGCGUGAGUGAUGAAGGCCCUAGGGUUGUAAAGCUCUUUUGUGCGGGAAGAUAAUGACGGUACCGCAAGAAUAAGCCCCGGCUAACUUCGUGCCAGCAGCCGCGGUAAUACGAAGGGGGCUAGCGUUGCUCGGAAUCACUGGGCGUAAAGGGUGCGUAGGCGGGUCUUUAAGUCAGGGGUGAAAUCCUGGAGCUCAACUCCAGAACUGCCUUUGAUACUGAGGAUCUUGAGUCCGGGAGAGGUGAGUGGAACUGCGAGUGUAGAGGUGAAAUUCGUAGAUAUUCGCAAGAACACCAGUGGCGAAGGCGGCUCACUGGCCCGGUACUGACGCUGAGGCACGAAAGCGUGGGGAGCAAACAGGAUUAGAUACCCUGGUAGUCCACGCCGUAAACGAUGAAUGCCAGCCGUUAGUGGGUUUACUCACUAGUGGCGCAGCUAACGCUUUAAGCAUUCCGCCUGGGGAGUACGGUCGCAAGAUUAAAACUCAAAGGAAUUGACGG